rnacentral:rRNA from 1 species
GAUGAACGCUGGCGGCGUGCUUAACACAUGCAAGUCGAACGGUGAAAGCGGAGCUUGCCCUGCUGGAUCAGUGGCGAACGGGUGAGUAACACGUGAGCAAUCUGCCCUUGACUCUGGGAUAAGCGCUGGAAACGGCGUCUAAUACCGGAUACGAGCUGCGAAGGCAUCUUCAGCAGCUGGAAAGAACUUCGGUCAAGGAAGAGCUCGCGGCCUAUCAGCUUGUUGGUGAGGUAACGGCUCACCAAGGCGUCGACGGGUAGCCGGCCUGAGAGGGUGACCGGCCACACUGGGACUGAGACACGGCCCAGACUCCUACGGGAGGCAGCAGUGGGGAAUAUUGCACAAUGGGCGCAAGCCUGAUGCAGCAACGCCGCGUGAGGGACGACGGCCUUCGGGUUGUAAACCUCUUUUAGCAGGGAAGAAGCGAAAGUGACGGUACCUGCAGAAAAAGCACCGGCUAACUACGUGCCAGCAGCCGCCGUAA